CUAUGGACUUAAUUGGAUUGAGCCUUGGUAUGGAAACCUACUAAGUGACAACUUUCAAAUUUAGAGAAACCAUGAAAUUAAAGAUGGACAAUCCUAAGCCAAAUCCUAUUUUACGAAAACCAACAAAACAAUAAUGGCUCAUAAAGUGAGAAUAAAAAAAAGGAUAGGAUAGGUGCAGAGACUCAAUGGGAGCUGUUCUAACAAAUGAAGUUGACCACGUUGUAUUGGGAAAGGAAUCUUUUUAUCGAAGCUUGAGAAAGGGAAAGGAUAAACUUAUG
rnacentral:ncRNA from 1 species